ensembl:lncRNA
GUUUCAUUCCAGGCUACACCCAAAAUAAGGCAGCUAGACGUCAUUUGGGAGCACUGGCUUCUCUGAUAUUAAUAAGCCUGCACCAGACACGGCGUUACUAGGGGUAACCUAAGAAGACCUGGAUAGUAUAUACAUAAGGACUCUGCAAAUGAAGAUGUAUAACAUUAUUUUUUUUAGACAGUAGUCACUGUCUUUCUUCUUCCUUGAUAUAAGUGACAUGUUAUGGGAUCGUAUUUGCCUCACUGCACUACAAUCAAAUUUGGUGGACAUCCUGUCUCUACACAAGAUGAAGGCAGAGGAGCAGUCUGAAAAAAUGGUGUCUGACAUAAAAGUGCAUAUGAAGCAGAAGUGUGGAAUUGAAUUCAUGAGUUCAUCCAUGAAGAAAAAACUUCACCCACUGACAUUCAUUGGUGCUUGCUGAACUUUUAUGGAAAUCUAACAGUAGAUGUUGGCACAACAAGAUGGUGAGUGAUGAGUUUCAGCAGGGGUAGCAGCAAUGUGAAGACAAGCCAUGUUCUGGAUGGUCAUGCUCAAUGGUCACACCACAAAAUGAAGAGCGUCUUGUUAAGUUCAUCUGCACAAAUCAGUGAUUUAUAACCAGGGAACUUUGUGCAGACUGCAGUGUGUUGGAAAUGAUGUUGGCAACACAGGAAAAUUGCAAAGUUUGUGCCAGGUGGGUCCCAUGAAUGCUCACACAGGAACAGAAAGAGCACCACUUGCAAGUUUGCCAGGAUCUAUUGAACCAAUAAGAGCUUGAAGGUGAUAGCUUUCUCAAUCACAUUAUUACUGGUGAUGAGAUGUGGUGUCACCACUACAAACCAGUAUCAAAAUGUCUAUGGAGUAGCAACAUGUGAAUUCCCUG